rnacentral:rRNA from 1 species
AACGAACGCUGGCGGCAUGCCUAACACAUGCAAGUCGAACGAGACCUUCGGGUCUAGUGGCGCACGGGUGCGUAACGCGUGGGAAUCUGCCCUUGGGUUCGGAAUAACUUCGGGAAACUGAAGCUAAUACCGGAUGAUGACGUAAGUCCAAAGAUUUAUCGCCCAAGGAUGAGCCCGCGUAGGAUUAGCUAGUUGGUGAGGUAAAGGCUCACCAAGGCGACGAUCCUUAGCUGGUCUGAGAGGAUGAUCAGCCACACUGGGACUGAGACACGGCCCAGACUCCUACGGGAGGCAGCAGUGGGGAAUAUUGGACAAUGGGCGAAAGCCUGAUCCAGCAAUGCCGCGUGAGUGAUGAAGGCCUUAGGGUUGUAAAGACUCUUUACCCGGGUACUGAUAAUGACAGUACCGGGAGGAAUAAGCUCCGGCUAACUCCGUGCCAGCAGCCGCGG